CUUGGCGCUCCCUAACACUUGGCGCCACGGGCGACUGCCCGAGUUGCCAGUACCUUGAGCCGACCCUGAGUGACAGGACGGGUGUCUGUAAAAUAUAGGUAUGGUUUCUGCGACAAAUAAGUUUGGGAACCAUUGAUGCAGACAGAAUAAAAGAGACAUAUAAAGACGGAACCGAUGAAUAGAUAGAUGUUCGCUACGCUGUAAACUCCGGUCAUAUCAACAACUUCAUACGGAACUCAAGACCAAGAAAUGAACCAUUAUAAUAAAGGACCAAUGGUUCAAUGGAUAUUUUUGUUCGUUUCUCUACCAAAGCCUCGAUAUUUUCUUGAGAAAUAAUUAUAUUCAAUCUCUUGGGAGAAAGGAACAAGGAUGUGUCAUUUCGAUGUCUUUCUGUAAAGGCCACAACGACGAAAUACAAUUGAAAUUAUUUCAACUGGGAAGCGACACCCGGUCGUGAUCAAGGUCAAUUCGAAAUUGUUACAGUCGCGUCAAAGAAUUUAUUCGCAACGUUUAGUCACCAAUAAAUCGCUAUACAUUGUUA